UACGUAGGAGGCAAGCGUUGUCCGGAAUUACUGGGCGUAAAGCGCGUGUAGGUGGUGGGACAAGUCUGCUGUGAAAGCGCCUGGCUUAACCGAGGAAGUGCAUCCGAAACUGGCGAGCUAGAGUACUAAAGAGGAUCGCGGAAUUCCCGGUGUAGAGGUGAAAUUCGUAGAUAUCGGGAGGAACACCGGUGGCGAAGGCGGCGAUCUGGGUAGAUACUGACGCUGAGGAGCGAAAGCGUGGGGAGCGAACAGG
rnacentral:rRNA from 1 species